AUGGUAUCAAACAAUAUUAUUUUGAUCAAGAUAUUUCACGUAGGGAACUUGCUCAUGCCAUCAUUUUACAUGAGUACCCUUUGUCCAUUGUCGAUCAUGUUGGAUUUAGGAAGUUUGUUGCUAGUCUCCGGCCAUUGUUUAAAAUGGUAUCUAGGAACAUAAUCAAGAAUGAUAUUUUAAAGAUUUUUGACAAUCUGAAAUCAAAAACUUCUAAGUUGUUGGAAAAAAUCACAAGUAAAAUUGCAAUAACAACUGAUAUGUAUACCUCAGACAAUACCAAAAAAGGGUUUAUGGCUAUUACGACACAUUUUAUUGAUGAUUCAUGGAGGCUUCAGAGUCAUAUCGUGAGAUUUAUUUAUGUUCCCGCUCCACAUGAUAAGGAUACUCUAUGUGGUGCGUUGCUCAAUUGCUUGUUAGAGUGGAAUCUUGAGAGAAGAAUAUCAACAAUUACUGUUGAUAAUUCUAGCACAAACAAUGCUCUGAUGAAAACCUUGUUAGAUGAGAAACUUUGUAAAAGAGAUUUGUUGUUGAUGGGUCGAGUAUUGCAUGUGCGUUGUGCCGCAUACAUCUUAAAUUUAAUUGUUCAAGAAGGGUUAAAGGUGAUAGAAGAUGGUAUCAGUAACGUGCGUAACAAUGUCUUAUAUUGGAUAGGGUCUUCAGGCAGAAUUGUAAGGUUUGAAGAAGCUGCACGGUUGCUACAUAUUUCUUGCACAAAAAAGUUAGAGUAUGAUUGCCCUACUCGUUGGAAAUCAACAUAUUUAAUGUUGAGAACAUCCUUAGAUUACAAAGAGGUGUUUUCGAAGUUAGAGCAUGAAUGAUACCAAUUACCGUUAUUUUCCAAUCGAAGGGCAAUGGAGUGAAGCAGAAAAAGUUUGUGUAAAGUUGAAGCUCUUUUACCAUGUCACCGAAUAAUUUUCGGGGAGUCAAUAUCCAACUUAAACUCAAUACUUUUCAAAAGUUUGUGACAUUAAGCUAGAAUUAAAAGCUUGGGUAAAAAGUUUAAAUCCUUUGAUUAGCUCUAUGACAACGUCAAUGUUGUUGAAAUUCAAAAAAUAUUGAGACGAUGUACAUAUAUUGUUGGGUGUAGCUACUAUUUUUGAUCCGAGGUAUAAGAUGAAGGUGGUGAAAUUCUAUCUUGCACAAAUUUAUCGUGAAAAAGCUUCUUUGGAUAAAAUUCAAGAAGUUCAAAAAGAGUAUCAGAGUAGAGCACUUACUUCACAUGAGUCAUCUCAAGCAUCUAAUGAAGUUGUUGGUAUUGUUGAUGGUGAUCGGCUCUCUAGUUUUGAUCAAUUUGUCGCGUCGAGUAGGGCGAAUGUGGACACAAGAUCGGAAUUGGAUGUGUAUUUAGAAGAAAGUUUGCUACCUCGUACACCAUCAUUUGACAGUUUAAGUUGGUGGAAAAUAAACGAAUUAAAAUUUUCUACUUUGCAAAAGAUGGCUCGUGACCUCUUAGCCAUUCCUGUCUCUACUGUCACUUCAAAAUUAGCAUUUAGCACUAGUGGGAGGUUGAUUAGUCCGCAUCGUAGUAGACUUCAUCCUACUACUUUGGAGGCUUUGAUGUGUGCUCGUACAUGGUUGUGAAAUGAAAUAAAUGGUUUGACUUCAAGUGUCGACAAAGUUUCAUGUCCAACUUUACUUGAAGAAGAGGAAGAACCAGAUUCAAGUGGGCUUACUAGUCUGUAGCCUCUUUGAAGAGGAAGAGAAUAUGAUAUUUUGAAUAUCACAUUUUUUGUGGUUGUGUAAUUUGAGUCACUUCACUUUUCUGUUUGGAAGUGAAAUUUCAGGCUAGCUAAACUAGAGUAUUGUCUGUGAUUUACUCUUCUUACCUCUGAUUUUCUAGUACCACUUUUAUGUGUCAUAAUUUCCUUUGAAGCUCUAGAACAUAUGUUCUUCCUCAUGUAUUGCUAUAGCUAGAGCUCACUUGGUUAUAGAAAAUACUGAACUUUCUU